GAACUCGGUGAAAGGAAUUGGCGCCGUUCGACACCAGGCGGAUCCGCUCUGCAGCACGAACCCAUCUCCAGCCGCAGCCGCAGCCGCCGCCCGGGCCGAGGAGCAGCCGCAGCAGCCGCCACCAGUGGCCGAGUGAGCGGAGCCGAGUUUGAGGCAGCGCCUAGCGGUGAAUCGGGGCCCUCACCAUGAGUUCCUCGCCUGUUAAUGUAAAAAAGCUGAAGGUGUCGGAGCUGAAAGAGGAGCUCAAGAAGCGACGCCUUUCUGACAAGGGUCUCAAGGCCGAGCUCAUGGAGCGACUCCAGGCCGCGCUGGACGACGAGGAGGCCGGGGGCCGCCCCGCUAUGGAGCCCGGGAACGGCAGCCUAGACCUGGGCGGGGAUUCCGCUGGGCGCUCGGGAGCAGGCCUCGAGCAGGAGGCCGCGGCCGGCGGCGAUGAAGAGGAGGAGGAAGAGGAAGAGGAGGAGGAAGGAAUCUCCGCCCUGGACGGCGACCAGAUGGAGCUAGGAGAGGAGAACGGGGCCGCGGGGGCGGCCGACUCGGGCCCGAUGGAGGAGGAGGAGGCCGCCUCGGAAGACGAGAACGGCGACGAUCAGGGUUUCCAGGAAGGGGAAGAUGAGCUCGGGGACGAAGAGGAAGGCGCGGGCGACGAGAACGGGCACGGGGAGCAGCAGCCUCAACCGCCGGCGACGCAGCAGCAACAGCCCCAACAGCAGCGCGGGGCCGCCAAGGAGGCCGCGGGGAAGAGCAGCGGCCCCACCUCGCUGUUCGCGGUGACGGUGGCGCCGCCCGGGGCGAGGCAGGGCCAGCAGCAGGCGGGAGGGGACGGCAAAACAGAACAGAAAGGCGGAGAUAAAAAGAGGGGUGUUAAAAGACCACGAGAAGAUCAUGGCCGUGGAUAUUUUGAGUACAUUGAAGAGAACAAGUAUAGCAGAGCCAAAUCUCCUCAGCCACCUGUUGAAGAAGAAGAUGAACACUUCGAUGACACAGUGGUUUGUCUUGAUACUUGUAAGUGAAGCUGUUUCUCCCCAAUUAUGAAAUGCGGUGAUGGUGGUGGUGGUUUUUUUUUUUUUUUUUUUUUUUUGGUUCCCGAAUGUUAGAAAACAGUGCUUAAGCGCAGCAAAACUUGGGUUAGUUUUUUUAAAAGCAGGAAGAUAAUGGUUUACAUUCAGAACCUAGUAGUUUAAUAUUUAGCACGGCAUCAGUUGUAUUAAAUGGAUUAUUUUACAAGCUCUAGGAGUUUCAUAUUUUUAUGACUUGAAAGUUCUCAUUCUUAAGAAAUGUAAAAUUAAUGCCAGUUUUUGACUAGCUAACGGAAAUUUGUAACACUACCUAUAAUUUAGCCUUACAGGCUUCUACAAUAAAGUAAUUCAUUUUUUUGUGGAAUUAUAUUAAGUGAGCUAUUUGGGCUAGUUAAAUAUUUACUAAUGACUUCUCCCAUUAGCACACAAGUAUAUUAUUCCCUAUUCUAAAAGAUUGUAAUAUUACUUUUUCAAUAACUGCUCUUUUGUUCUCAAUUCCAGUUCAGUAGCUGCUGCUUUAAACAUAAGUUGAUUUCUUCCAAAGACCUGAGGCAGCAGCAGUGGGCUAUCACUGGGCCACUAGCUUUCUUCAGCAGCGAAUGGUAUCAAUGGCAGUGCAGCACUGUACAUACUGCUACUUUACCCAGUUGGGUUGCAAUUGAGUGAGAAAGUAUUGCAAACCUCUAAGUGGGCUUUGACUGUCAGACUUGUAUUUUUUUUUUGUUUGUUACAAAAAAACGUAGUUGGUUUAGUGAUGAGAAUGCACAACUCUGGGUGUGAUAAAUAGACCAAAGGAUAAAAAUAACUGUUUCAAAAGUAUCAGCUGUGGUGUCAGCCUGCUGUGUUAGAUGGAAGGCAUUGGAGCUUAGCUUCUCAUGUUUUCUUGUACAAAUUGGCUUUAUUCAGAUUUGUAAGAGUGUCAAUGUAAAACUCUUUCUGACUGGAAUAUCCUUUACAGAAGGUUCAGAUAGUCAUCUGAGCCUUUUUAAAAGAAAAAACUGCAGGUGAAAAAGGAGUUAGUUGAUUUGAAAGUUUUAGUGAAAUUCUGGGUUGUAUAAAUAAGUUGCUAGGAAUUGGCAAGGUAGUGAAGUGGUGACUCACGCAGGUAAUGUAAUUGUUAGAUUUUUUAGCAAAUCAGUUAGAAAUAUGUCAAUAUAAGUACAAUGCUGAAUUCAAACAAUCUGUUGAAUUAAAUUUUGUUUAUUAGAGUAAUUCUAAUUUAAGAAAAAUUCCAAACUGUAGAUUUAUUUUUCUUUGAUCAGUGAAAAGAAAAUGAAUUCCAGUUUGACUUUAGCUGUUCAAGUGAGAAGUCUGAGAAAGUGCAUGUUAAUGAGCCAGUGACCCAUAGGUAGCUGGGUUAAAGACACUUUGGAUUUGGAUAAUCCGGGAAGCAAUUAAUCCCUAAUUGUUGAACAGGCAGUCCUGGGUAAAGAGGACCUAAAAUGCUGCACUAUUAACAGCAUUAGACGGCCAGGUUUGUACUUCAUAGAUGUAGGCUGUCGUCUUCACAAGUUUUAGAAAAAGAAUUUAGGAGCUAGAGCCCUGGUGCAGGAUCAACAGCAGUUCGUACUCCUAUUUUAAAAUAAUUUGGUCGUGGCCUGCCUUCAGUUUUAAUGUGGCACUGGUAAAUCUACCUGGUUCUGGCAUGCUUCACUUUGAUUUCCUGCUAUCCUCUACUGCUUGCCUCUAAAUCAAGGUAAAGAGCAGAGCAGGUAUGUAUUAAUGUCACAUUGUCUUGAUUAUUUUAAAUACUUAAAAUAUACAUGUAAAACCUUGGUAUUAGUUUCACAGGCAGUUUAGUUUUCAGUACACAAUUUAACAGGAGUGACUUGGUGGGAGUGGGGCUUUAAACUGAAAAUUGGAACAACAGCAUGAUGUGGAGAAAAGUUGUGCAGCAUUAAGAAGUACAUGCAAAAAUUAAGUAACCAAGUUUUGUCUACAUAGCAGAUAUGUUUACAUUGGAUGUCAGAAGUAACACAGUAUUUGAUAUAAUUACAGAUAAUUGUGAUCUACAUUUUAAAAUAUCAAGAGAUCGUCUCAGUGCUUCUUCCCUUACAAUGGAGAGUUUUGCUUUUCUUUGGGCUGGAGGAAGAGCAUCCUAUGGUGUGUCAAAAGGCAAAGUGUGUUUUGAGAUGAAGGUUACAGAGAAGAUCCCAGUAAGGCAUUUAUAUACAAAAGAUAUUGACAUACAUGAAGUUCGUAUUGGCUGGUCACUAACUACAAGUGGAAUGUUACUUGGUGAAGAAGAAUUUUCUUACGGGUAUUCUCUAAAAGGAAUAAAAACAUGCAACUGUGAGACUGAAGAUUAUGGAGAAAAGUUUGAUGAAAAUGAUGUGAUUACAUGUUUUGCUAACUUUGAAAGUGAUGAAGUAGAACUCUCCUAUGCUAAGAAUGGUCAAGAUCUUGGCAUUGCCUUCAAAAUCAGUAAGGAAGUUCUUGCUGGACGGCCACUCUUCCCGCAUGUUCUCUGCCACAACUGUGCAGUUGAAUUUAAUUUUGGUCAGAAGGAAAAGCCAUAUUUUCCAAUACCUGAAGAGUAUACUUUUAUCCAGAAUGUCCCCUUAGAGGAUCGAGUUAGAGGACCAAAGGGGCCUGAAGAGAAGAAAGAUUGUGAAGUUGUGAUGAUGAUUGGCUUGCCAGGAGCUGGAAAAACUACCUGGGUUACUAAGCAUGCAGCAGAAAAUCCAGGGAAAUAUAACAUUCUUGGCACAAAUACUAUUAUGGAUAAGAUGAUGGUGGCAGGUUUUAAGAAGCAAAUGGCAGAUACUGGAAAACUGAACACACUGUUGCAGAGAGCCCCCCAGUGUCUUGGGAAAUUUAUUGAGAUUGCUGCCCGAAAGAAGCGAAAUUUUAUUCUGGAUCAGACAAAUGUGUCUGCUGCUGCCCAGAGGAGAAAAAUGUGCCUGUUUGCAGGCUUCCAGCGAAAAGCUGUUGUAGUUUGCCCAAAAGAUGAAGACUAUAAGCAAAGAACACAGAAGAAAGCAGAAGUAGAGGGGAAAGACCUACCAGAACAUGCAGUCCUCAAAAUGAAAGGAAACUUUACCCUCCCAGAGGUAGCUGAGUGCUUUGAUGAAAUAACCUAUGUUGAACUUCAGAAGGAAGAAGCCCAAAAACUCUUGGAGCAAUAUAAGGAAGAAAGCAAAAAGGCUCUUCCACCAGAAAAGAAACAGAACACUGGCUCAAAGAAAAGCAAUAAAAAUAAGAGUGGCAAGAACCAGUUUAACAGAGGUGGUGGCCAUAGAGGACGUGGAGGAUUCAAUAUGCGUGGUGGAAAUUUCAGAGGAGGAGCCCCUGGGAAUCGUGGCGGAUAUAAUAGGAGGGGCAACAUGCCACAGAGAGGUGGUGGUGGCGGAGGAAGUGGUGGAAUCGGUUAUCCAUACCCUCGUGCCCCUGUUUUUCCUGGCCGUGGUAGUUACUCAAACAGAGGGAACUACAACAGAGGUGGAAUGCCCAACAGAGGGAACUACAACCAGAACUUCAGAGGACGAGGAAACAAUCGUGGCUACAAAAAUCAAUCUCAGGGCUACAACCAGUGGCAGCAGGGUCAAUUCUGGGGUCAGAAGCCAUGGAGUCAGCAUUAUCACCAAGGAUAUUAUUGAAUACCCAAAUAAAACGAACUGAUACAUAUUUCUCCAAAACCUUCACAAGAAGUCGACUGUUUUCUUUAGUAGGCUAACUUUUUAAACAUUCCACAAGAGGAAGUGCCUGCGGGUUCCUUUUUUAGAAGCUUUGUGGGUUGAUUUUUUUUCUUUUCUUUUUUGUACAUUUUUAAUUGCAGUUUAAAAGUGAAUCGUAAGAGAACCUCAGCAUUGUGCACGAUAAGAGAAUGUGUCAGUAUUUCAGGGUUCUAC
rnacentral:sRNA from 1 species